GAGUGAAUUAUGUGGUUGUCUUGCCUGGCAGUAUCGACAUCGUUACUAUGUACAAAAUUUAAAAGUAAAUAAACUCCGGACAAAGCAAUAUCGUCCCUACCUGGAAUCGUCAACCAGAGUCGAGGUCAACCUUUCCGGUAGUCCCCGACCAGUAUAAAUAAACGAACAUGCUCUCUAGGACGAUCAUUUUCUGGUAUCCUUACAGCGAGUAGCAUUGAGCGAGCAACGAUUCAGGCGUAUUAUACCAACUCUGUAUUCUAUAUUUAGACAAGCUGGCCGAAGAAAAAUCCAAGAGGUCGGGACGCGACGAAGCUUCCUGUGCGGAAACAAAAAUCACUAAAGUGCGAACUGCCCAACGAAAAGCAAAGUUGCCAGGUGUUUCAAAUGCCAGGAGUACGGACACAUCGCAUCGCAAUUUAACAAUUGCGUCAAGAGGGUAAUUGCAACCCGGAGUGCUCGAUGGGUCUAAAGCAAAACAUCAAUGCCAGAUGAAAUACACUCACGACGGUAAGAUAGUUGCAAAACUGGAUGGAAAUAGAUUCCUCCCUCAAAGGAAAUAUGGACAGAAAAACACCUCCUGGGAAGAUGCGGCAGUGAAACGUCGAGAGGUUUCUUAGUAUCUUUGAGCGGAAAUUUCGAAGAUGAACGGACGUCCUCGACCGUACCCAGAUCGUGAUCGAAUGUGGAACUGGAAAAUCCCGAGGAUGUCCAUUUUAGAAGCAAAAUGAAGAAAUCCGAGAACCAUGGCGUCUCCAUAGAAAGGCAAGAAGCUGUUGGAUCUUUCUACGUGGUUUUGAAGAUGGACGUAAAUGGAGUGGAAUGGAACGAUUGAAAAGCGAAAAUGAAGCAAACUAUUAGAAAAUUUAUAUAAAUGAAAAUAAAUAAUAUCACUAUA